rnacentral:lncRNA from 1 species
ACUCUCUGCUGAUCCGAGAUCUAAUAGAUCUUUAGAUUAAUCCAUGGAACAUUUAAUUUCCUGCCAGAUCAUGCAAUUUCUUGCUGCAGACUGCUUCCCCCGUUUCCCCGUUCUUCGUUCUAGAGAGCAAACCGCCCACUCAGCCAGCUGCCAGCAAGCAGCAGUUCUGUUCCAUUCAUGCGGCGGCGGCGGCGGCGGCGACGGCGGCAAACGCAAAGCUGUAAAUGAUAAAAGCUUAUCUGGCAAAUAUGUUACGUCGACAGCCGGUUCGUCGACAGCUGACUGCCAGCGACCUUUGGACGGCAUGGCUAGGCAGUGGCCGCGUCUGUGUGUGUGACCGUAGAUGGGUUCGUUAUGCGAACCGGUUUCGGGUAAGCACAAGAUCCGACGAGUAAUUAGUCCAAGAGCAAGCCGAGUCCAGCACUUAUAAACACAAAGCGCAUAAAAUGACAC